AUUGAACGCUGGCGGCAUGCCUAACACAUGCAAGUCGAACGAGUGGCGGACGGGUGAGUAAUAUAUGGGAAACUGCCUAAUGGAGGGGGAUAACUACUGGAAACGGUGGCUAAUACCGCAUACCAUCGGAUGUGCCCAGAUGGGAUUAGCUAGUUGGUGGGGUAAAGGCUCACCUAGGCGACGAUCCCUAGCUGGUCUGCGAGGAUGACCAGCCACACUGGAACUGAGACACGGUCCAGACUCCUACGGGAGGCAGCAGUGGGGAAUAUUGGACAAUGGGCGAAACCCUGAUGCAGCCAUGCCGCGUGUAUGAAGAAGGCCUUCGGGUUGUAAAGUACUUUUAGCGGGGAAGCGGUACCCGCAGAAGAAGCACCGGCUAACUCCGUGCCAGCAGCCGCGGUAAUUC
rnacentral:rRNA from 1 species